GGAGAGCCUGGGACUCAGCAGACAUUUGGAAGCGUAAGUGUGCUGUAUAAAUGUUAAUGAACUGUUCUCUUACACAGCCCAUUCCUUGGCUUUCUGGGAUUUUUAGCUAAAGGAGGUGAUUGCUACAGGCAUUUUCUGCCCAGAACUGUGCCUCCGCUGGCCCUGCAGGGUGUCUGAUGCCUGGUGAGCCCCAGCCUGCCCCUGUGCCCGCAGGAAGGCAGUGGGUGUUGCCAGAGCAGGGGACGUGCAGAACCCUGACACUACCUCUGGCAGAGGCAGCAGGAGAGCUUCCAGCCUUAAUUCUCUAUUCUUGAGAAACGCAUGCGGUCGGGACAGGCACUACAGCCAUUGCUCUUACUGACACAGCCUCUCUCGUGAGCUUCCUGUAGCUGAAACCUGCAUUAAAUCAAGAUCUUACGUGACAAUAAUCAAGUGGGAGCAAGCACUGCUUACAGAAGUCAUUUUUCCCCAGAUGCAAAGAAAGCCGCUUCUUGCAAGAUGAUCAUUUUCUACAUCUUGCCGGACUGACACGCUCUGCAAUGCCUCUCACAUAGCUGGCAGGCUCUCCGCAGCCAGGAGGGCAUGCAAGCACACAGACUGCUGGGAGACAGCUGAGUCUUUGUGCAUCCUUCCCAUCACCCACCUAAGGCACACGCUUCUCGAAGCCUGGUCUGAAAGGAAAGCGCUGGCAGAACUAUACAAGCAUCACUCCUUUGAGCUUUUGUAGGGCUUACAAGACUCAACAGAGAGGAGGGUACAAAGCAAAAGCAGACAUGGCAGUUCUACUUCAGGCUUUGUAACAAAGCUUCCCAGAGAGAAAAACAAAUCAAUACCAUCUCUCACUGCACACCAAAAGCCAAAGAUGCUUUCUAGGGUCGCUGCGCUCACUGCUGGGAGCAUCCCAGUGUGGUGCUGACUUCCUUCCUGCACAUCCAGGAGGGCCGCAAAACCCACCCACAGGACUGUGAGCCCAGGUGACCUUUAUCUCAGCCGUGCACGCAUUCUGAAAAUGACACCAAUGGGUGACUGUGUUUUUGGCAGUAGUCAGGCCUUUGCUGUGGAGCCCUCACCUGAAGCAAAGCAUCUUGUGUCCCUGAUGCAGUCCCAGCAGAGCUGCAUGGCCUAGCGCUUCCCAUCCGCCUUACAGAUGAGCUGUAGAAGGGCACACCACGAAACUCUCCCACACCAGAGUUCUCAGGGCAGAAAAGCUCCUCCUGACGGCGAUGCAGCUGGAGACCAAUACGUGGCACUGAGUACUGUUCCCGAGGGGCUUUUCCCUUUCCAUAGACUUCAGAGUGAGCCUUGGGAACUGGGUGCUGAUUUGGAGAGGCAAAUCACACAGCAGAACCCAUCCCUGUUGCUUCCCCGGAGAGGCUAAAUGUUGUGUUACGUCUCUGGGAGAAGUACAGCAGGA